CAGCUCUCAAGAACUUCUGCAAGAAUAAAGAGGUGGUUCCAACGCCUGAAAAAAAACAACAUGACAUUUUAGAAGAAAAACCCACACCUGUACUGAUAGAAACCCAAGUAGAAGCAGAAGUUCAGAGAGAUCCAUCAAUAGGACAAGAAUCACUAGAAGAGUCAUCAUUAACUCAAGACCAAAGACAUGAGCAACAAGAAUCCUUUGUAAAGUCAUCUUUGGGAGCACCAUCCCCAGAACAAAGACUUGAGAAAAAGGAAUCCCCUACGCAAUCAUCCUUGGAUCCAAUACCUCUAAAGCAUCAACUUGAACAACAAAAGAUACCUGUACAGUCCUCCUUGAGACCACCAUCUCCAGAGCAACAACCUGAACAACAAGAGGUACAUAUACAGUCAUUCCUGGGACUACCAUUCCUAGAGCAGAAACUUGAACAACAAACGGUACCUGUACAGUUGUCCUUGGGACCACCAUCCCCAGAGCAACAACUUGAACAACAUGAGGUUUCUAUAAAGUCAUCCUUGGAACCACCAUCUCCAGAGCAACAACUUGAACAAGAGUCUCCUGGACAGUUAUUCUUGGGACCACCAUCCCCAGAGCAGCAACUCGAAUGGCAAGAGAUACCUGUAUACUCAUCUUUCAAACCACCAUCUCCAGAACAACAAUUUGAACGAGAGUCCUCUAAAGAGUCAUCCUUGGGACAGUUCUUAGAACAACCACCUGAGCAAUGAGAAUCUCUUAAAUAGUCAUCUUUGGGACCACCAUUCCAAGAAUAUCUACCCAAGCAACUAGAUCCCAAUGACAGUCAUCCUUGAGAUAACAAUCUCAGAAACAGGUGACUCUGGGACAGCACAUGAAACAAAUACUAUGGUGACAAAACAUCAGCCAUGUUGUGAAGAGAAACAAGUCAGGAACUGGACAGGACCGUAGGCAAAUGAAAAUAAAAAUAGACAAUUUAUUUUCAUAUUAUGCUGAGGUAUGCCAGUAGGGUAUUACAAUUGUCAACCUCAUAUUUUGAUGGCCGGACUUAAAGUUUAAAAGAUGAGUAAGAUUAAAUGCAUGUGGAAACCC
ensembl:lincRNA 1700022F17Rik RIKEN cDNA 1700022F17 gene